rnacentral:rRNA from 1 species
CAGCCGCCGCGGGAAUACGUAGGUGGCAAGCGUUGUCCGGAAUUAUUGGGCGUAAAGGGCUCGCAGGCGGUUUCUUAAGUCUGAUGUGAAAGCCCCCGGCUCGACCGGGGAGGGUCAUUGGAAACUGGGAAACUUGAGUGCAGAAGAGGAGAGUGGAAUUCCACGUGUAGCGGUGAAAUGCGUAGAGAUGUGGAGGAACACCAGUGGCGAAGGCGGCUCUCUGGUCUGUAACUGACGCUGAGGAGCGAAAGCGUGGGGAGCGAACAGGAUUAGAUACCCGUGUAGUCCCUGUCUCUUAUAC